CGCAUCUGUGCAUGCAGCAUAUCAAUAAGCGGAGGAAAAGAAACUAACAAGGAUUCCCCUAGUAACGGCGAGUGAAGCGGGAAGAGCUCAAAUUUGAAAUCUUAAAGGGUUUCCCUUUACGAAUUGUAGUUUAAAGAAGUGUUUUCUGUUCGAGGUUUUGGUAAAAGUUCUUUGGAAUAGGACAUCAUAGAGGGUGAGAAUCCCGUAUUUGACCUUUACUUUCAACUUUGUGAUACACUUUCAAAGAGUCGGAUUGUUUGGGAAUGCAGUCCAAAAUGGGUGGUAAAUUUCAUCUAAAGCUAAAUAUUGGCGAGAGACCGAUAGCGAACAAGUACCGUGAGGGAAAGAUGAAAAGAACUUUGAAAAGAGAGUUAAACAGUACGUGAAAUUGUCAAAAGGGAAGCGUUUGACACCAGUGUUGUUUUUCUGAAAAUCAAUUAAAGAACUGUUUAUGCUAAGCUGUUUAGACUUUAUCAGCUAACUGUUUAGUUUUGAGCUUUUCUUUAAUGCACUUUUCAGUUAACAAGUCAACAUCAAUUUCUUUUGCUGUAAAAAAGCUUGAGGAAGGUGGCUUGAGAUUCGUCUUAAGUGUUUAUAGCCUCUUGCCUAUGCAGUCGGAGAGAUUGAGGUCUGCAGCGUAGAUCCUUCGGGGCUAAAUGCAUUUGUGCUAAGUUAUAGCAUUUUAUAGACAACUUGUUGACUAUGAUUUGUCUUGUAGCUUACUCGCUUAUGUUAUUUUACCUACGCUUAGGAUGUUGAGUCAUCACACAUCUCU
rnacentral:rRNA from 1 species